rnacentral:tRNA from 1 species
GGCGCUAUGGUGUAGUGGCAGCACAUUGGAUUUUGAUUCUACUAUUCCAACGACCCAGGUUCGAACCCUGGUAGUGCCU